rnacentral:rRNA from 1 species
AUUGAACGCUGGCGGAAUGCUUUACACAUGCAAGUCGAACGGCAGCACGGACUUCGGUCUGGUGGCGAGUGGCGAGCGGGUGAGUAAUGUAUCGGAACGUGCCCAGUCGUGGGGGAUAACGUAGUGAAAAUAACGCUAAUACAGCAUACGAACUAUGGAUGAAAGGGGGGGAUCACAAGACCUCGCGCGAUUGGCGCGGCCGAUAUCAGAUUAGGUAGUUGGUGGGGUAAAGGCCCACCAAGCCAACGAUCUGUAGCUGGUCUGAGAGGACGACCAGCCACACUGGAACUGAGACACGGUCCAGACUCCUACGGGAGGCAGCAGUGGGGAAUUUUGGACAAUGGGCGAAAGCCUGAUCCAGCCAUUCCGCGUGCAGGAUGAAGGCCCUCGGGUUGUAAACUGCUUUUGUACAGAACGAAAAGGUUUCUACUAAUACUAGGAGCUCAUGACGGUACUGUAAGAAUAAGCACCAGCUAACUACGUGCCAGCCGCCGCGGUAA